UACGAGGGGGGCGAGCGUUGUUCGGAAUUAUUGGGCGUAAAGAGCUCGUAGGCGGUCUGUUGCGUCUGCUGUGAAAACCCGGGGCUUAACCCCUGGCUUGCAGUGGAUACGGACAGACUAGAGGUAGGUAGGGGAGAAUGGAAUUCCCGGUGUAGCGGUGAAAUGCGCAGAUAUCGGGAGGAACACCGGUGGCGAAGGCGGUUCUCUGGGCCUUACCUGACGCUGAGGAGCGAAAGCGUGGGGAGCGAACAGG
rnacentral:rRNA from 1 species